rnacentral:rRNA from 1 species
UACAGAGGUCUCAAGCGUUGUUCGGAUUCAUUGGGCGUAAAGGGUGCGUAGGUGGCGGGGUAAGUUGGAUGUGAAAUCCCGGGGCUCAACCCCGGAACUGCAUUCAAUACUGCCUUGCUAGAGUACUGGAGAGGAGAUUGGAAUUUACGGUGUAGCAGUGAAAUGCGUAGAUAUCGUAAGGAAGGCCAGUGGCGAAAGCGAGACUCUGGCUAGAUGCUGACGCUGAGGCACGAAAGCUGGGGGAGCAAACGGG